GUUGCAUCAUCUAUAUUUUUCAGUGUUGAAUGUUGUUUGUCUUUAGACAUUUUUGUUUUGCCCAUGGUGUUUGUCUAUAGUCUUAACCUAUGAUUUCUAUCUUAUGUCAUAAUUCUUUUUUGUUUUGCCUAUGGUGUGGGAUCUCCUUUGACUGAAGCCAGUGAUGGUUUCAACUUUCUCUUUUCUAUUUUUUUGUGUAUUUAAAGUGGCAUUGACAUUUAUUAUAAUUAACAAACCAUAACCGAGUAUCAAAUUCAGCCUUCAAAAACAAAUGAAAUCAUAUUUUU
rnacentral:lncRNA from 1 species